rnacentral:tRNA from 1 species
GGCAGCGUGGUCUAGUGAACAGGGCACUAACCUGGGACUCCAGAGAUGCAGAUUCUAUUCCUGCUUCUGCCA